rnacentral:pre_miRNA from 1 species
AAAAAGACAAACACUAGAUUUUCGUGUCUAAUGUUUGACUGUCCGUUUUAUAUGAAAUUUUUUUGUAAUUAGUAUUUUCAUUGUUGUUAGAUGAUAAAACAUGAUUAAUACUUUAUGCGUGACUUGUCUUUUUAAUUUUUUUCAUAUUUUUUUCAAAUAAGACGGACGGUCAAACGUUAGACACGGAAACCCAAGGUUUGUCUUUUU